rnacentral:rRNA from 1 species
AGGGCGCACGGUGGAUGCCUUGACACUAGGAGUCGAUGAAGGACGGGACUAACGCCGAUAUGCUUCGGGGAGCUGUAAGUAAGCUUUGAUCCGAAGAUUUCCGAAUGGGGAAACCCACCAUACGUAAUGGUAUGGUAUCCUUAUCUGAAUACAUAGGGUAAGGAAGACAGACCCAGGGAACUGAAACAUCUAAGUACCUGGAGGAAGAGAAAGCAAAUGCGAUUUCCUGAGUAGCGGCGAGCGAAACGGAACAUAGCCCAAACCAAGAGGCUUGCCUCUUGGGGUUGUAGGACAUUCUAUACGGAGUUACAAAGGAACGAGGUAGACGAAGCGACCUGGAAAGGUCCGUCGUAGAGGGUAACAACCCCGUAGUCGAAACUUCGUUCUCUCUUGAAUGUAUCCUGAGUACGGCGGAACACGUGAAAUUCCGUCGGAAUCUGGGAGGACCAUCUCCCAAGGCUAAAUACUCCCUAGUGAUCGAUAGUGAACCAGUACCGUGAGGGAAAGGUGAAAAGCACCCCGGAAGGGGAGUGAAAGAGAUCCUGAAACCGUGUGCCUACAAAUAGUCAGAGCCCGUUAACGGGUGAUGGCGUGCCUUUUGUAGAAUGAACCGGCGAGUUACGAUCCCGUGCGAGGUUAAGCUGAAGAGGCGGAGCCGCAGCGAAAGCGAGUCUGAAUAGGGCGUUUAGUACGUGGUCGUAGACCCGAAACCAGGUGAUCUACCCAUGUCCAGGGUGAAGUUCAGGUAACACUGAAUGGAGGCCCGAACCCACGCACGUUGAAAAGUGCGGGGAUGAGGUGUGGGUAGCGGAGAAAUUCCAAUCGAACCUGGAGAUAGCUGGUUCUCCCCGAAAUAGCUUUAGGGCUAGCCUUAAGUGUAAGAGUCUUGGAGGUAGAGCACUGAUUGGACUAGGGGUCCUCAUCGGAUUACCGAAUUCAGUCAAACUCCGAAUGCCAAUGACUUAUCCUUAGGAGUCAGACUGCGAGUGAUAAGAUCCGUAGUCAAAAGGGAAACAGCCCAGACCGCCAGCUAAGGUCCCAAAGUGUGUAUUAAGUGGAAAAGGAUGUGGAGUUGCUUAGACAACUAGGAUGUUGGCUUAGAAGCAGCCACCAUUUAAAGAGUGCGUAAUAGCUCACUAGUCGAGUGACUCUGCGCCGAAAAUGUACCGGGGCUAAAUACACCACCGAAGCUGCGGAUUGAUACCAAUGGUAUCAGUGGUAGGGGAGCGUUCUAAGGACAGUGAAGUCAGACCGGAAGGACUGGUGGAGUGCUUAGAAGUGAGAAUGCCGGUAUGAGUAGCGAAAGACGGGUGAGAAUCCCGUCCACCGAAUGCCUAAGGUUUCCUGAGGAAGGCUCGUCCGCUCAGGGUUAGUCAGGACCUAAGCCGAGGCCGACAGGCGUAGGCGAUGGACAACAGGUUGAUAUUCCUGUACCACCUCUUUAUCAUUUGAGCAAUGGAGGGACGCAGAAGGAUAGAAGAAGCGUGCGAUUGGUUGUGCACGUCCAAGCAGUUAGGCUGAUAAGUAGGCAAAUCCGCUUAUCGUGAAGGCUGAGCUGUGAUGGGGAAGCUCCUUAUGGAGCGAAGUCUUUGAUUCCCCGCUGCCAAGAAAAGCUUCUAGCGAGAUAAAAGGUGCCUGUACCGCAAACCGACACAGGUAGGCGAGGAGAGAAUCCUAAGGUGUGCGAGAGAACUCUGGUUAAGGAACUCGGCAAAAUGACCCCGUAACUUCGGGAGAAGGGGUGCUUUCUUAACGGAAAGCCGCAGUGAAUAGGCCCAAGCGACUGUUUAGCAAAAACACAGCUCUCUGCGAAGCCGUAAGGCGAAGUAUAGGGGGUGACACCUGCCCGGUGCUGGAAGGUUAAGGAGAGGGGUUAGCGUAAGCGAAGCUCUGAACUGAAGCCCCAGUAAACGGCGGCCGUAACUAUAACGGUCCUAAGGUAGCGAAAUUCCUUGUCGGGUAAGUUCCGACCCGCACGAAAGGUGUAACGAUUUGGGCACUGUCUCAACCAGAGACUCGGUGAAAUUAUAGUACCUGUGAAGAUGCAGGUUACCCGCGACAGGACGGAAAGACCCCGUGGAGCUUUACUGUAGCCUGAUAUUGAAUUUUGGUACAGUUUGUACAGGAUAGGCGGGAGCCUUUGAAACCGGAGCGCUAGCUUCGGUGGAGGCGCUGGUGGGAUACCGCCCUGACUGUAUUGAAAUUCUAACCUACGGGUCUUAUCGACCCGGGAGACAGUGUCAGGUGGGCAGUUUGACUGGGGCGGUCGCCUCCUAAAGUGUAACGGAGGCGCCCAAAGGUUCCCUCAGAAUGGUUGGAAAUCAUUCGUAGAGUGCAAAGGCAUAAGGGAGCUUGACUGCGAGACCUACAAGUCGAGCAGGGACGAAAGUCGGGCUUAGUGAUCCGGUGGUUCCGCAUGGAAGGGCCAUCGCUCAACGGAUAAAAGCUACCCCGGGGAUAACAGGCUUAUCUCCCCCAAGAGUCCACAUCGACGGGGAGGUUUGGCACCUCGAUGUCGGCUCAUCGCAUCCUGGGGCUGUAGUCGGUCCCAAGGGUUGGGCUGUUCGCCCAUUAAAGCGGUACGCGAGCUGGGUUCAGAACGUCGUGAGACAGUUCGGUCCCUAUCCGUCGUGGGCGUAGGAAAUUUGAGAGGAGCUGUCCUUAGUACGAGAGGACCGGGAUGGACGCACCGCUGGUGUACCAGUUGUUCUGCCAAGGGCAUAGCUGGGUAGCUAUGUGCGGAAGGGAUAAGUGCUGAAAGCAUCUAAGCAUGAAGCCCCCCUCAAGAUGAGAUUUCCCAUAGCGUAAGCUAGU